rnacentral:rRNA from 1 species
AAAAGGAAAAAAUGAAUGGCGUUUUUUUGGAAUUGCAGAGGGGCGGGUAAAAAAGGGAUGACUACCUGCUUUUCUGAUAUGAUUAGAGAUCACUCCCUAGAUUUCAUUGGUCUCCAAGAAACGAAGAAAACUAACUUUACCCCCAAAUAUUUGAGAAGGAUAGACCCCUUUGAGAGAUUUAACUGGAACUGGGUACCCUCUGUUGGCAAAUCAGGUGGUAUCCUAUGUGGCAUCAAAAAAGAAACCUUAGAUGUUGUUUCCUAG